AAAAAAGAAGAAAGAAAAGAGAGGGUAAGAGAUAAGAGUUAUCGGAAAGUCGAAAGAUAAAGUGGAAUCACAAGGAGAGCUCUGUAAGGCAUUCAUAAAAAGACGUUACCGUCGUCUUCGUCGUAGUCGUUUAUCAAAAGAUCGUCCAGAGCAAUUGAACUUUGAUCGUAGUUUAAUUAACAAUGAAAUUACAAUCUACUCGUCGACUUUCUCGCCUAUUCACUUUUCUCGAAUAUUAGUGAAAGCUCCUCUAUAGGCUUGUCACACAGUUUGAGCUGUCAAACCACGUGGAAGAAGUACGAUUUACUUAAAAAAAGAGACAAAGUAAAGCAAGAGAGAGAGAGAGAAAUAGAGUGAGGAAGUAUAUGUGAGUGUGAGUGAGAUGGAACAACGAAUACGAUUAACGAUGGAAGACAUCGUCUCGUUCAAGCUUAUUUCUUGCCAAGCCAAAAAGGAUUUUGGCAAACUCUCCCACGUCUAUACUCGUUGUGUCCUCCUCCAAGGUUCCCAACUUUUUAACCCUCUUUACUCUCACCGAUGUCUCGAGCCAGAAAAUGCGUUCUUUGAUCUUCGAAAAGGAAAGAAGAAAUAAAAAGGAAAGAAAAAGGAAAGGAAACGAAAAAAAAAAAAAGAAGAGAAAAACAAAAAGAAAAGAAUUCGAUUUGUCCAGUCGAAAGUUCAUAUAUUUUAAGAAAUUUCAAGAGUUCUAUUAAUCAUUACCAAUGAGAUCUUUUACUUGAAAUUAUAAUCAAUUAUUUGAUCUAUCGAAAAUCGAAUUCAAUUUGAAGACGUUUGGAGUCCAUUUGUGUGAUAAUUUUGAUUUAAUUAAAUUUAAUCGUUAUUAUUAGA